rnacentral:lncRNA from 1 species
GCAGUAUGAUGACCGGAGACACAGCUGUUGGAGGAAAAAAGUUUAUGUCAAUUAAAAUCCUGAAUUUCUCUGAUCUGGAAAGAAAAACUGCUAUGAACUCUUUAGGUAAGUCAUACACUUAUUUAUUCACUUACUAAAUAAUGAAUGUAUUCAUUAAUUAAAUAAUUAUGCCAUAAUUUGCCACUCAAUCAUUUCCUCAUUUCCUCAAUCACUAUUCAGUAAUUUACUGACUCACUAAUUUGAUCACUCAUUCAUUCACUUAGUUUUUUCAUUGGCUAGUGUGUUCUCUAUAGUUGCAUUAAUUUUUAUAACCAAUAUUUACUAAGACAUGUUGCUAGGUGCUGGCAGUAAGGAAAUGGGAAAGGUGAAGUCUCUACCCUCAGGGAGUUAAUGAUGAAGAGGACAGACAGGUGGCUUUGAUCAGUUUUUUACUACAAGUAGGGAAAAAAGCAGUAGGGGUGCUGAAAGAAAGAAGUAAUUAACUGCAUUGGGAGUUUGAGAAGAUUUUGCUAUGUAAUUUUCACUGUGUCUGCAACAUGAAGAGUAAGUCAUAAGAAAGGGAAUGAACCAGAGAGUCAGGAGGGCUCAUGUUAGAAGUAGAAGGAAAAUCUUUCCAAGCAGGGAAAGCAACUAGUGCCAGGUACAGAGGUGUGAGAAAUUGUACCAUAUUUAGAAAAAUUGUGGAUAGUUUAAAGUUUCCGAAGCAAUAGGGCAAAGAUUGAAAAGAUCCUAGAUAGGACAAAUAGGUUGGGGUCCGGUUGUGAAUGGGCUUUCCAACUACUGCUGGAGAUUUUAGAGGUUUCAUUGCAUUUGCACAGAGACAGUGAAUGUGUCACAGACCUAUUGUUUUCAUCAUCUUUUUUAUCCUCAUGAUAUCUGGAUGUAGAUAUCACCAUUUUAAGGAAGUUGAAGAUACUUAGUUGUUUCUGUGUUUGCAUCACACUUUCAUACCCCUGCUAUAACUUUGUCUUUAAACUUUUCCACCUUCCUUAAUAGAAGAUUUGGUUCUUGAAGACAGGAGCUCUGUCUAACUCAGUUAUGUACCCUCACUACCUAGCAUUGUGCUUUACAUAUGACAGACACACUCCACAAUAUCUGAGAAAUAGAAUAACUGGGGAUGAAUGAAUGAGAAAAUUAAUGAAGAAAUGAAGGAAGUUACCUGGUCAAACUGCUAAGAAGUAACAAGGCAAAGGAAAGAACUAUGUUUCCUUUCUUCAACUCAGCCCUUAUUCCUACAUCCCGUGUCUGUGGUUCAUGUUACAAACCACACCAAUAAGAACUUUGUCAUACUAUUUGUCACUGUGAUCCGUUCCAUGGAAGAAAAUGGUUCAUUUUGCUCAUUAAUAUUAAUUAAGAUACAUAUUAAGUAACAUAGUUGAGCUUCGUUACGGUAGAUACUAUGGCUUUUUCUCCUUUUGUUCUGUUAUUAUCUGACACUUACUAUGUCCUAAUUCAGUUAGCAAGUUCUAAUUCAUUAAUGUUCGUCAAAUGAAUGAACCCAGAAAUUCUUAAAUUAAAAAAUGUGAUAAUUAAGAAAGUUAUGAUGUUGCUUAUAAAAAUAUAUUAAAAUAUAAAUAUAAAAAUAUAGAAAAAUAUAUAAACUUAUAAAAACUAGAGCACAUGAGAUUCAUACCCUUUCAAAUCACGAGAGUUCAGAUGCCCUCUCUGUGUGUACUCUUAUGUCAGCCAGGAUUUUAACAACUCAUAUAUUUAUAGAGACUUCUCAAUAUUUGCCCAUUCAAUUAUAUUGUUAAAUUUAUACUCAAAUCAUAUUUUUAUUUUAGCAU